rnacentral:misc_RNA from 1 species
CACGUAGGGGGCAAGCGUUGUCCGGAAUUAUUGGGCGUAAAGCGCGCGCAGGCGGUCUUGUAAGUCUGAUGUGAAAGCCCCCGGCUCAACCGGGGAGGGUCAUUGGAAACUGCGAGACUUGAGUACAGGAGAGGAGAGUGGAAUUCCACGUGUAGCGGUGAAAUGCGUAGAUAUGUGGAGGAACACCAGUGGCGAAGGCGACUCUCUGGUCUGUAACUGACGCUGAGGCGCGUAAGCGUGGGGAGCAAACAGG